CUCUCCUUGCCUCCUCUUCUCUGCUGAUAUUUUCCCAUGCAAAUUCAUCUUCAAUAACUACUUCAAAAUUAUUAAUGGACAUCAUAAGUUAAAUGGUGGGUGUGACUGAAUUUGUCAGAACUGAGCAUUUACAAAGCCUACUUUUUAAAAACUGCUUUGUCUUCAGGCCAGGACCCUGUGCCUUUUACUGUCUGGUGCAAACCUUCCGAAUUGUUGCCGCCGAUGUACCGAGUUUUGAAAGAAAUGCAUUUCAAAGGCCUGAAUAAACAUUAUGUGCGUGGCCUUUCCAUGUUGCUGACUCUGCAGUGGAGUCUGCUGUUAUUUCCUGAGAGUGAGGUGGGAUUGUGGACAUUUGGGGGGUGUCAGGAAAGCUCCGGGCUGUGCAUCCUGUGUCGCAGCCCAUUAAUCAGCUGGGGAGCGGAGUGGAACCUCACCUGCUUCCUCCUCCACUUCCUUCUGCAGGGAGCUGCUGCUCCUACUCAGUGCCUCCCAACAAGCCUCGGGAAUCUGCAUUUCAAGUCCUGCCAAAGGGGAGUGCAGCAGUGUUUGACAGUGGCAGCGGAUAUGGGGAAGGGCGAGCCUCCAACAGGUCAGGCAGUCCCUCUCAUCUUUGACAUGAUGGCCACAGCAGAUCCACAAGUACCUGAUGGAUGAGGAUGGCAUGGGUGUCAUGCUGUGCAUAACACAAGCACCAAAAGGCUGAGCAUCAGGGCCAGCCCAGGAAAACUUCUUGAGCGUCUUUCUCUCUUCGUUCCAGAGGCAGCCAGGCUGCUUUCCUCCCGUGAGGAGAUGGGAGAAGGAGGACAAGAAUGACAGUUCACUGAAGCUGAAAGAGAAGCGAACAAAAGGUCAACUGUUACUGUCCCAUCUUACAGAAGAGGAAGGUGCAGGGAGGUGCUGUCCAGGGCCCCUCACUGCCAAGGAAUAGCCUGUGUAAUUGGAAAUGUGACUUGGAGGGGAAGAUGGAGGCUGAUCUGGGGACAGAGAACUGCCUGGCCACAGGAAUCAGGAGCCAAGGAGUCCUUGUAGAUUUUCACACAAAAGAGCUCAAUCCACACAGAAGCUCCUUGGCUGUUCAGAAGAGCUCCCACCUCCACUCUCAGCUGUUUUGGCACACAGGAGAGCACUCCCACACCUGCAGGGGCACCGUGUCCCUCCUGGGCUGUCCCUUGGGGCUGAGGGAAGGACAUGCAGGUGCAGCUAUGAAGAUAUGAUAAUACCAGAACUGGAGACAGAAGGUCCUGUUGGGGAUAAAGAAGCAGAGUGAAGGAGUGGAAGCCAAACCUAAAAGUGCACAGCCAGUGUCUAGCGUGGCAACACCAUCAGAAGAGCAUUAUGAGCUGCAUGCCAGCUUGAUUGGCAAAUUGGUGAGGUGUGUACCUCACAGCCACAGCUGCACCUUGGUGCCAGAAGUCAAUACCUGGAGCAGAACAGCAAGGAGCAGCUACGGUCAGAUCAAACCACACUCCAGAAAUGGCCAUGAAUAUGUAUUCUGUCUUUUGACACUCCUUUGUGCUGGCUUUUGGAGAAGGCUGUAGAGGAUCUGAGAAGUUAAAGCUGGAGUGGACCCACAAGACCCAUCUGUCUGCCUCCCUGAGCAGAGCAGAAGGUCAAGAGGAUUUCUUUUAUAGAGAAGCAGGAGUGGGAAGUGAAUGAAAUUGGAUCAAAGGGAGGAGUACAGGUGACACCUCCUGGAAACCUCAGCCUGCACAGCUUUGAUGGGAUGUGAACGAAGGGCCCCUGCUGCUGUGUUUGGAAAGAAA